rnacentral:ncRNA from 1 species
AUCGAACGAGGUGAAAAGGGAAUCAGGUGUAAAUCCUGAACAGACCCACUGCUGUAAGCUUCAUUAAACUUUCCGGAUAAAUUCUACAGUUGUCCACUGUCCGUAAUGGAUGGGAAGGACUUCCGGAAAGGAAGCGAGUCAGAAGACCUGCCUGCAAAGUC